GUGCUCACUUCAGCAGCACAGACAUUAAAAUUUGAAUAAUAAACAAAAAAUUAUCAUGGUUUCUGAACAAGGAAGAUAUGCAAAUUCAUUAAGUGUUCCUUAUUUAA